UACGGAGGGGGGCUAGCGUUGUUCGGAAUUACUGGGCGUAAAGCGCGCGUAGGCGGCUUUGUAAGUUAGAGGUGAAAGCCCGGAGCUCAACUCCGGAACUGCCUUUAAGACUGCAUCGCUAGAAUUGUGGAGAGGUAAGUGGAAUUCCGAGUGUAGAGGUGAAAUUCGUAGAUAUUCGGAAGAACACCAGUGGCGAAGGCGACUUACUGGACACAUAUUGACG
rnacentral:rRNA from 1 species